rnacentral:rRNA from 1 species
GACGAACGCUGGCGGCGUGCUUAACACAUGCAAGUCGAACGGAAAGGCCCUGCUUUUGUGGGGUGCUCGAGUGGCGAACGGGUGAGUAACACGUGAGUAACCUGCCCUUGACUUUGGGAUAACUUCAGGAAACUGGGGCUAAUACCGGAUAGGAGCUCCUGCUGCAUGGUGGGGGUUGGAAAGUUUCGGCGGUUGGGGAUGGACUCGCGGCUUAUCAGCUUGUUGGUGGGGUAGUGGCUUACCAAGGCUUUGACGGGUAGCCGGCCUGAGAGGGUGACCGGCCACAUUGGGACUGAGAUACGGCCCAGACUCCUACGGGAGGCAGCAGUGGGGAAUAUUGCACAAUGGGCGGAAGCCUGAUGCAGCAACGCCGCGUGCGGGAUGACGGCCUUCGGGUUGUAAACCGCUUUCGCCUGUGACGAAGCGUGAGUGACGGUAAUGGGUAAAGAAGCACCGGCUAACUACGUGCCAGCAGCCGCGGUGAUACGUAGGGUGCGAGCGUUGUCCGGAUUUAUUGGGCGUAAAGGGCUCGUAGGUGGUUGAUCGCGUCGGAAGUGUAAUCUUGGGGCUUAACCCUGAGCGUGCUUUCGAUACGGGUUGACUUGAGGAAGGUAGGGGAGAAUGGAAUUCCUGGUGGAGCGGUGGAAUGCGCAGAUAUCAGGAGGAACACCAGUGGCGAAGGCGGUUCUCUGGGCCUUUCCUGACGCUGAGGAGCGAAAGCGUGGGGAGCGAACAGGCUUAGAUACCCUGGUAGUCCACGCUGUAAACGGUGGGUACUAGGUGUGGGGUCCAUUCCACGGGUUCCGUGCCGUAGCUAACGCUUUAAGUACCCCGCCUGGGGAGUACGGCCGCAAGGCUAAAACUCAAAGGAAUUGACGGGGCCCCGCACAAGCGGCGGAGCAUGCGGAUUAAUUCGAUGCAACGCGUAGAACCUUACCUGGGUUUGACAUGGAUCGGGAGCGCUCAGAGAUGGGUGUGCCUCUUUUGGGGUCGGUUCACAGGUGGUGCAUGGCUGUCGUCAGCCCGUGUCGUGAGAUGUUGGGUUAAGUCCCGCAACGAGCGCAACCCUUGUUCACUGUUGCCAGCACGUUAUGGUGGGGACUCAGUGGAGACCGCCGGGGUCAACUCGGAGGAAGGUGGGGAUGACGUCAAGUCAUCAUGCCCCUUAUGUCCAGGGCUUCACGCAUGCUACAAUGGCUGGUACAGAGAGUGGCGAGCCUGUGAGGGUGAGCGAAUCUCGGAAAGCCGGUCUCAGUUCGGAUUGGGGUCUGCAACUCGACCUCAUGAAGUCGGAGUCGCUAGUAAUCGCAGAUCAGCAACGCUGCGGUGAAUACGUUCCCGGGGCU